GAUGAACGCUGGCGGCGUGCCUAAUACAUGCAAGUCGAGCGAACGGAUGAGAAGCUUGCUUCUCUGAUGUUAGCGGCGGACGGGUGAGUAACACGUGGAUAACCUACCUAUAAGACUGGGAUAACUUCGGGAAACCGGAUCUAAUACCGGAUGAUAUUUUGAACCGCAUGGUUCAAAAGUGAAAGACGGUCUUGCUGUCACUUAUAGAUGGAUCCGCGCUGCAUUAGCUAGUUGGUAAGGUAACGGCUUACCAAGGCAACGAUGCAUAGCCGACCUGAGAGGGUGAUCGGCCACACUGGAACUGAGACACGGUCCAGACUCCUACGGGAGGCAGCAGUAGGGAAUCUUCCGCAAUGGGCGAAAGCCUGACGGAGCAACGCCGCGUGAGUGAUGAAGGUCUUCGGAUCGUAAAACUCUGUUAUUAGGGAAGAACAUAUGUGUAAGUAACUGUGCACAUCUUGACGGUACCUAAUCAGAAAGCCACGGCUAACUACGUG
rnacentral:rRNA from 1 species